rnacentral:rRNA from 1 species
AGUGAACGCUGGCGGUAGGCCUAAUACAUGCAAGUCGAACGGCAGCACAGUAAGAGCUUGCUCUUACGGGUGGCGAGUGGCGGACGGGUGAGGCAUACAUAGGAAUCUACUUUUUCGUGGGGGAUAACGUAGGGAAACUUACGCUACUACCGCAUAUGUCUAACGGGUGAAAGCAGGGGAUCUUCGGACUUUGCGCGAUUGAUUGAGCCGAUGUCGGAUUAGCUAGUUGGCGGGGUAAAGGCCCACCAAGGCGACGAUGCGUAGCUGGUCUGAGAGGAUGAUCGGCCACACUGGAACUGAGACACGGUCCAGACUCCUACGGGAGGCAGCAGUGGGGAAUAUUGGACAAUGGGCGCAAGCCUGAUCCAGCCAUGCCGCGUGAGUGAAGAAGGUCUUCGGGUUGUAAAGCCCUUUUAUUGGGAAAGAAAAGCAGCAGGUUAAUACCCCGCUGUUCUGACGGUACCCAAAGAGUAAGCACCGGCUAACUUCGUG